rnacentral:rRNA from 1 species
AGUGAACGCUGGCGGUAGGCCUAACACAUGCAAGUCGAACGGCAGCACAGUAAGAGCUUGCUCUUACGGGUGGCGAGUGGCGGACGGGUGAGGAAUCCAUCGGAAUCUACUUUUUCGUGGGGGAUAACGUAGGGAAACUUACGCUAAUACCGCAUACUACCUACGGGUGAAAGCAUGGGAUCUUCGGACCUUGCGCGAUUGAAUGAGCCGAUGUCGGAUUAGCUAGUUGGCGGGGUAAAGGCCCACCAAGGCGACGAUCCGUAGCUGGUCUGAGAGGAUGAUCAGCCACACUGGAACUGAGACACGGUCCAGACUCCUACGGGAGGCAGCAGUGGGGAAUAUUGGACAAUGGGCGCAAGCCUGAUCCAGCAAUACCGCGUGGGUGAAGAAGGCCUUCGGGUUGUAAAGCCCUUUUGUUGGGAAAGAAAAGCAGCAGGUUAAUACCCCGCUGUUCUGACGGUACCCAAAGAAUAAGCACCGGCUAACUUCGUG